UCUUCGCCUCCUCGCCUGCCCCAACACCUCACCCCCAGUCUCCUCGACCUCGAGGAGGACAACUCCGAUUUGGACCUCAAGUACUGCCUCCCCGACACCUCCAUCCCCAAGUACAUCCUCCCGUCAGACGAGGACGAGAUUUGGAUUGAGGCACAACAGAGAUGAGGAAGGACAAAGCAUGAAUAGCUCCAGUGAGAGUGAAUGGAUAUGAACACCAGAACCCUCUCAGAGGAUGUUGGCUGAUCGGGAUACCCAAUUCUCAAACAAGCAUGCUGAGAUGCUCAAGAUAUGGAAGUUCGCCCACAAGCUCAGCCACCAGGUUUUUUUGGUUCAUGUUCAAUGGGAGGCGAAGAGUGUAGAGAGGGUAUCUGAUGUAGGUCCAAGUUAAACAUUUGUUUCUUUUAUUGUGUUUAGGUGAACACAUGUCAAAGGUGCAUACGGACAUGAUGAAGCCGUGAAUUGUCGCACAGCUCACUGACCUUCUUGGGUUCGAAAAACUACCUAACUGCUAUUAUCCUGAAUUUAGUUUUAUCUGAACUAAGAGGACUACAUGUGCUUCUCUAACAAAGAAUUACUCAUUUGGUGUUCUUUUGCACUGUUGAUUUUAGUUCAAAUUGGUGUGAGUGCGACCUAUUUGUCAUGUUGGAUAAGCCUUUCUGUAUCACAUGGAUGUGGCCUGUAGUAUGGUGUAGAAAAGUGAUGAAAGGUAUUAGUUAGAAUUAAUUUGGCAGCAAUAGCUUAUCAAGUUUUUGCCAAGCCAUCUAUUUGUAGAAUUUCUGCAGCUGUAGUUUGUGCCAGCUCCCUCAUGUAGAUAUAUAUACUAGCAGACUAGCACGCAAAUUAUUUGCAUCAAAACUAAGACAUAUCUAUAUAUGAUGGAGGCAUUUCUUUCUUUAUAUUCAGCACACCUCUUGCUGCUAUAAAGAAAGUAGAAACAUGGUUGAUAAAUAAUCAGAUUGUUCUGCCCAUUAUUAAUUUCACAAUCCAUUACAAUUGUUAUGUCCUUGCAAUCAUACCACUACACAUGACGCUUCCUAGAUCUAAAACCCAACCAAAGAACAAUAAAGUUUGAUUCGUGCUGUUAUUGGGCCUCGAUGCGACCCUGAUGUUUUUGGCCCAAGUUGGGCAGAAUCUGCUCAUGCUUAUAAAACAAGUUUGUUAACAGAUUAAAUAGUCCCACCUAGCUUCUUACAGCUAAUUCUAUCAAGUUUUUUUAAUAAAUCUAUCAAUUUACAUAUGCCUAUAAGUAUGAGAAUUAACAAGCAGCCUGAGAAUAAACUAACAGAGGGUGAGCUGUGUUUUGGAAAAAGUAUCACCCCGGUUGGCGUAAUAAAUAAAAGGAGUUGGGGAUUGUUGGCUGCCAAACGAAAAAUCUCAGCGGGCCUAAAUAAAAGGGAUUGCGCACUGCGAAUCAAAAAACCCUGGUUAGUAUAAAUAAUGGAAAUUGUGGGCUCUGAAAUGAAAAAUUCCGGUUGACAUAAAUAAAGGGGAUUGUGGGCUAUGAAACGAAUAAUCUCAAUUGAGCACGAUUGUUGUAUGCUAAAGGAAAAAUAGCGACCGUGGUCUGCGAAACAAAAAAUAAGCAAAGGCCCCCGGUUGGCAUAAAUAAAAUGCUAUGAAAUGAAGAAAAUAAAUAAAUGGGCAUGGUUGAACAAUUUCAGUAUUUUAUACUUAUACUAUUUUCAUUUAAAGGAUGAAUUUUGUCAUCCCGUUGCAACACACAGGCAUGUGUCCUAGAAGAUAUUUGGAAUGCAGAGUUCAUGAAAACAAAUCUCAGUCCUUUUUUCUUCUUCUGAAAAGCUCUCUUCAUUCUUUUUCUCGUCUAUUCUUACUGCUUGAGAAUUGUUGCAGUCCGUACCAUGUAUCCACUGUUUCCUAAGGAGAGUGUUCCUAUGCUAAAAGUUGUUGUUUUAUCCUUGCAGAUUUUUUCUGUCGGAUUUGUGCGGUCUAAAUAGUACUGUACUGUAUUUAGUUUUCUGGAAGGAUGCAAAAGUCAUACUGGGCUUCCUGUGUAUACUGAUUGCUAAAUGAUGCAGUAGCAUUUGUGCAGUGGGGGAGUGUCAUUCCCUGUGUUUACCGAUUGGCCUCACCCUCUUAAGAGAUCUAACCCUUGUCACCGUAAGGAAAAAAGCAAAGAGUAUUAUGACGCCAUAAAGUUUGAAUUCAGAGAAGUAUAUGCUGAAGAACACCAGAAUUAGUCUUCAUGAACCAUCAUCGCCUUGUUGAUGGUACUUCAAAUGUAAGUUUUCUGGUCCUUUGACAAGGUCUUCCAAUUAGUCAGAAGCGAUGUCAAAUGGUACGCACAUUUUUUAUUUUAAUUUUCUUGAAUUGUUAAGUUGAGCAUGGAUGCUUGCAUUUCCA